UGCGGUGGCACGUGGCCUAUGGGCCAAUGAUGUUUUAUUUAAGUCAUAUUAGAUGCCCUGGGUUCAUAAUUGUUAUCCGUAUGAAGUAAUUUCAUUAUUUGGGCUUAGUUUCAUUUCGACACGUUAAUAGGCCAUUAUAUGAAUCGAUGACCCGACCGUUGGAUCGUCAUCAAACUUUAAUAGGUUCUUAUUCAUAAUAUUUGAGGAAUAUAGGAACUUACGGAUUGGGGAUACGACAUAUGGAUCUCCUCGAAUUGGAUUUGUAAGUUCGUAAAAUAAAAUGUUAACUGCCACUUUGUUUUGGCAAUUGGCGUAGAUCCGACCGUUGGAUCGUUCCGAAACUUUAGUAUGCUAUUCUAGAAGCAUAAUGUGGAUCCUUGAAAGUUACGGAUCAGAGAUCUGAUUUGUAGAUCUUCUAGACCGAAUUGCAUGUACUUAUGUACGAUGUAAGUUAUGUAUUGUAUCAACGAGAAUUCUGAAAUAUGGUUU
rnacentral:lncRNA from 1 species